rnacentral:rRNA from 1 species
GAUCAUGGCUCAGGACGAACGCCGGCGGCGUGCUUAACACAUGCAAGUCGAACGAAGAGCGAUGGAAGCUUGCUUCUAUCAAUCUUAGUGGCGAACGGGUGAGUAACGCGUAAUCAACCUGCCCUUCAGAGGGGGACGAACAGUUGGAAACGACUGCUAAUACCGCAUACGAUCCAAUCUCGGCAUCGAGGAUGGAUGAAAGGUGGCCUCUAUUUAUAAGCUAUCACUGAAGGG